rnacentral:rRNA from 1 species
UACGUAGGGUGCAAGCGUUAAUCGGAAUUACUGGGCGUAAAGCGUGCGCAGGCGGUUUUGUAAGACAGGUGUGAAAUCCCCGGGCUCAACCUGGGAACUGCAUUUGUGACUGCAGGGCUGGAGUACGGCAGAGGGGGAUGGAAUUCCGCGUGUAGCAGUGAAAUGCGUAGAUAUGCGGAGGAACACCGAUGGCGAAGGCAAUCCCCUGGGCCUGCACUGACGCUCAUGCACGAAAGCGUGGGGAGCAAACAGG